GGCUGGUUAGCUCAGCUGGUUAGAGCAUGGUGCUGGUAACACCAAGGACAAGGGUUCAAAUCCCUGUGCCAGCCA